UACGUAGGGUGCAAGCGUUGUCCGGAAUUAUUGGGCGUAAAGAGCGUGUAGGCGGCCCGAUUAGUCCGCUGUGAAAGUCCAGGGCUCAACCCUGGAAUGCCGGUGGAUACUAUCGGGCUAGAGUCCGGAAGGGGCGAGUGGAAUUCCUGGUGUAGCGGUGAAAUGCGCAGAUAUCAGGAGGAACACCAAUGGCGAAGGCAGCUCGCUGGGACGUGACUGACGCUGAGAUGCGAAAGCGUGGGGAGCAAACAGG
rnacentral:rRNA from 1 species